AUUGAACGCUGGCGGCAUGCUUUACACAUGCAAGUCGAACGGUAACAGGCCGCAAGGUGCUGACGAGUGGCGAACGGGGGCGUAAUGCAUCGGAACGUGCCCAGUCGUGGGGGAUAACUACUCGAAAGAGUAGCUAAUACCGCAUACGAUCUAUGGAUGAAAGCGGGGGACCGUAAGGCCUCGCGCGAUUGGAGCGGCCGAUGUCAGAUUAGGUAGUUGGUGGGGUAAAGGCUCACCAAGCCAACGAUCUGUAGCUGGUCUGAGAGGACGAGCAGCCACACUGGGACUGAGACACGGCCCAGACUCCUACGGGAGGCAGCAGUGGGGAAUUUUGGACAAUGGGCGAAAGCCUGAUCCAGCAAUGCCGCGUGAAGGAAGAAGGCCUUCGGGUUGUAAACUGCUUUUGUAAGGAACGAAACGGUUCUGGUUAAUACCCGGAGCUAAUGACGGUACCGAAAGAAUAAGCACCGGCUAACUACGUG
rnacentral:rRNA from 1 species